AAGAAAAGAUAUCAAUUCAACACAAAGUGCCUCAGUUGGUCGCACACCACAAGGUUCAACGGAACCUACUGAACAUAUUCGUGGCAUUAACACGGGCGAUGGCGAAGCUGGUGAGGUUGGAACAGACAAGCACCCUCACGGGUAUCACCUCACAUUUCGGUAAGGCGAGCCGUAAACGAUGACUGCUGUUUGUGACCCAGCUCCUCCAAACGUCUCAAACCCCACAGGCUUGAAGAAGUAAUGUUACAAAAACUUUCCUUGUUCCCUGAAGUUAAGAGCAGAGGAGGGCAGUGUCCAUUUCUUUUGCAGGCCCUUCCAGACUGGUAAAAUUAAGGUUGAUUCCUAUCUGUAACUGUUAAGAGCAGAGGGAGUUGUGCCUUUGACUGCUAACCAAAAUGGACAUCUACAAGGUAAUGGCUACAGAGAAAAAAAAAAACUAAAAAAAAAAAAACUAGAAUCGAGCAAGGAGGGGUCUUGAAGCCUGUUCCAAAUACUUCCAAAUGUUACUGAAGAUACCUAAGUACCAUGAAAAUGAUACUGCAAGUGAGAAAUGUCAAUCUCCACAAUCAUCAUUAUUGAAAAUGUGACUUCUAACUUUCUCUUUUCAUACUAAAAAUGAGAAUGACAUAAUUCCCCUGAAAUGUAUAUAAUUAGAACAAUGUGUAUAAUUACAUCAAUAGAUUUUUAUAAUUACA